rnacentral:rRNA from 1 species
GAUGAACGCUGGCGGCGUGCCUAAUACAUGCAAGUCGAACGCACAGCGAAAGGUGCUUGCACCUUUCAAGUGAGUGGCGAACGGGUGAGUAACACGUGGACAACCUGCCUCAAGGCUGGGGAUAACAUUUGGAAACAGAUGCUAAUACCGAAUAAAACUUAGUGUCGCAUGACACAAAGUUAAAAGGCGCUUCGGCGUCACCUAGAGAUGGAUCCGCGGUGCAUUAGUUAGUUGGUGGGUUAAAGGCCUACCAAGACAAUGAUGCAUAGCCGAGUUGAGAGACUGAUCGGCCACAUUGGGACUGAGACACGGCCCAAA